AUAUCGUGUAAGUAUUCUCUCAUCAGGUAAAAAAAUCAGAUCUUAUCAGCUUAACAUCUGUUACAUCCUGCAUCACAGGACUACAAUAUUUAACUUAUUUUUGGCUCAUGACAGACUGCGAAGAGCAUGAUUUACCUCUGUCACAGGAUGCCUCCUCACUUUCCAACUCUCUGAAGGUAGUCAAAUGCCU